rnacentral:rRNA from 1 species
UACGUAGGGUGCAAGCGUUAUCCGGAAUUACUGGGCGUAAAGAGUGCGUAGGUGGUUUCUUAAGUUAGAUGUUAAAUCUACAGGCUCAACUUGUAGGCUGCAUCUAAUACUGGGAGACUUGAGAGUAGAAGAGGCAAACGGAAUUCACGGUGGAGCGGUAAAAUGCGUAGAUAUCGUGAAGAACACCAAUGGCGAAGGCAGUUUGCUGGGCUAUUUCUGACACUGAGGCACGAAAGCGUGGGGAG